GCAGAGUAGAGAUACGGGCGUUAAGUGCCGGAUGGACGGGGAGUUGCCAGCCGGACGAAAGAUUUCAGAAUAAUCUGCGGCCCGUAUUUUGCAUCCCGCUGC
rnacentral:ncRNA from 1 species